UAUCGCGACAAUCACUGGACAGCUCGCGUGUCAUCUUACAUACAUUCAGCUUCGAAGCCAGUGAAAGCGGAUAAAGGGAAAGCUGACAAAUUCUGCUAUAUGAAGAUUAAAUCUUUUUAGAAACGAUAAAAAACUAAAAUGAAGGAAUGACAGAAUUCACAAUAGUUAAAACACGCAAUCAAUCCAAGUAUCCAUCUAAUGAAUGGAUUACCAGAAAGUGGUCUAUGCAGACAAUGGAAUAUUAUUCAGCCUUAAAAAAGGAAAGAAACUCUGUGGUAUGCUACAACCUGGAUGGUCUUGAGGACAUUAUGCUGAGAGAAGCAAGCCGGUCCAAAAAGACAAACACUGCGUGAUUUCACUACAUGAGAGACAAAAACAGAUAAGCAAAUAAACCUGCAAUGGGAUGCCCAGCUGAGAGAGUGGUCGUGAGGGAAUAAAGCAGGGUGCAGGUGCAGAGAGGCGGUGCCUCCUCAGGCGGGGUGAGUAUGGGGGAGUAGAGAGCUGAGUGAAGGAACCAGGCGGCCACGCAGACUUGCGGGGAGAGAUCAUUCAGGCAGAGAUGGCAGCAAGUGCAAAGGCCCUGCGGUUCCAGUUCCAAAGAAAUAUGAGAAGCAUUUGGCCCCCAAAUCGACUUAAUCAAGAGACAUGUAAGCAUGCUGGGAGCAUGUCACCCCACCACUAGAUCCCUACGCAGGCGGGAGUGCCUCUGUGAAACAGCACACUUGUCAGUCGCCUGCAUGUCUCCCCGUCCUUCCACCGGCCUCAAGUGGGCCCGACCAUCACAGACGGACACAAAACCACACAGCCUGCCUCCUGGGGCUCACACUUCGGGAUGCCGGCUCUCGGAAAGCACGGGCUCUGACUGCGCGUCUCUCAAAGGGGCUUCCUGUUGGCAGUAGACGGUUGAACAAAUUAUGUAGAUAAAUGUCUUGGAAUUUCCCACAUAACCUCCAGCGUUGUGUUAUAUCGGGCAGUUCACAAAGCGCUUCUACAGAAAUGUCCCUUAGUCCGUUAGCUUCCCUUCUACGGUGGGUAUUACUGUCUUCCUUAUAUAUUAUGUGUGAAAUUCACAUUAAUUACAUCGUGUUUAUGGCGUAAGGAAUCUGAGUCUCAGGCCACUGGAGUGACUUUCCCAAGAUCCCAUGUCCAGUGAAUAGGAAACCAGGACCCAAACCUGUUGCGAUGUUUGUCGUUAAGUUGCUCCAUCCACAAAUACCUGCUGGGCAUCUUCUGUGCGGGAGACCCUGUGCAGCACGGCGUGUGCGCUGGGGCUGCAAGGGGGCUGUGAGGGGGCUGCACGCCUCCUGCGGAGCUGGGGCUCAGGGUCCUCUCCCCCAAC